rnacentral:rRNA from 1 species
CCUACGUGAGGCAGCAGUGAGGAAUAUUGGUCAAUGGGCGCGAGCCUGAACCAGCCAAGUAGCGUGAAGGAUGACUGCCCUACGGGUUGUAAACUUCUUUUAUAAAGGAAUAAAGUGAGGCACGUGUGCCUUUUUGUAUGUACUUUAUGAAUAAGGAUCGGCUAACUCCGUGCCAGCAGCCGCGGUAAUACGGAGGAUCCGAGCGUUAUCCGGAUUUAUUGGGUUUAAAGGGAGCGUAGAUGGGUUGUUAAGUCAGUUGUGAAAGUUUGCGGCUCAACCGUAAAAUUGCAAUUGAUACUGGCAGUCUUGAGUACAGUUGAGGUAGGCGGAAUUCGAGGUGUAGCGGUGAAAUGCUUAGAGAUCACGAAGAACUCCGAUUGCGAAGGCAGCUUACUAAACUGCCACUGACAUUGAUGCUCGAAAGUGUGGGUAUCAAACAGGAUUAGAUACCCCUGUAGUC